UCGUCUUCAUAUUGCUCUGCGGCCGCUUCGUGUCCGUGUGACGUCACAGUUCAUGACAACAAACAAAUCAAGUCAAGAAAAUAGUCGAACAAGUUUUUGAAAUUUCUUUGAUUCAGUAUUGUUAUUCGUUUCUUAUAAUUGUUAAUAAAUCGUUAUGGAACAUCAGUCUUCAAUAGCCAAAUACAAAAAUCAACAUACAAGUAUUGUGUUGUGCCUAACUGCGAAAAUACAAUAAGAAAUGCCCCAUAGUGUUUGUCCUUGUUUGUUUGUCUUUGUUACUGUCCGUAUAAACAUAGUAGUCUUUGUUUGUAACGUAGUAAUAGUAUCUCAAUGGUUUUUAAGGAAAAAGUGGUGUAAAGACUCAAGUUAUGUAGGUGCCAGGUUUAAAGAGGCGCGAACUUCCUAUAAGUUAAUAUUGUUGUGAAGAGGAUGAAGAACACAGGAGACACAGUUAACUACAUGGAGCAUUAAAUCAAUAAUUUCGGCGAACAUCGCACAGUAUUUGCUUGCGCCAGCCGCGCAUGGUUAGCCAUGUCGGGGGGUGCUGCUGCAAGAGCCACUGCUGCUGCGGCGGAGUCGUUGGCUACACAUGCUAGAGCAGCGCAUACGAGACUUGCCCCUGCGCAUCCAGCUAGAGCUACACGGUUGGCUGAUGAUGAUAUAGUGUGAUUCCUGCAGGCGCUACCGAAUUAUCGGUUGCUGAAGAAUGUGCAGGAUGAUGCACCACCUACACAGCAGGAAUAAAAGCAGCUUAUGAGCGUGAAGCUGAAAUCCUCGGUUUGAGUCUUGGCGGUGGUGAAGUUAUUAUCAAAGAGAUAGCGACAUGCACCAGCUUGAAGAGCUAGCUUUGCUUGCUGAAACUAUGGAAUGGAUAAGCGCUAACAUUCAAGCACGUCCGAGCACUAUGAGUCCACCUCUGCAAUGAACUGAUAAGUUUGUGAACGACUUGAACGCUGCGGCGGCCAUCUUUACUGAAAUUUCCCAUAAGUGCUUGCUAUUCUUGCAUAUAGAGUACAUAAUGAACGGCAUCGGCGAGAUGAUGUUCGCCGCGGUAGUAUGACGCUGGCAAUCAGCGCGCCGGGCCAUAGCAACCAGCGCUGGCUAUCAGCGCGCCGGGCCAUAGCAACCAGCGCUGGCUAUCAGCGCGCCGGGCCAUAGCAACCAGCGCUGGCUAUCAGCGCGCCGGGCCAUAGCAACCAGCGCUGGCUAUCAGCGCGCCGGGCCAUAGCAACCAGCGCUGGCUAUCAGCGCGCCGGGCCAUAGCAACCAGCGCUGGCUAUCAGCGCGCCGGGCCAUAGCAACCAGCGCUGGCUAUCAGCGCGCCGGGCCAUAGCAACCAGCGCUGGCUAUCAGCGCGCCGGGCCAUAGCAACCAGCGCUGGCUAUCAGCGCGCCGGGCCAUAGCAACCAGCGCUGGCUAUCAGCGCGCCGGGCCAUAGCAACCAGCGCUGGCUAUCAGCGCGCCGGGCCAUAGCAACCAGCGCUGGCUAUCAGCGCGCCGGGCCAUAGCAGCCGUGGUGGGGAGAGACUCGCAGCGCUGAGACACUGUCUCGCAGCGCUGAGACACUGUCUCGCAGCGCUGAGACACUGUCUCGCAGCACUGCGUAUCCCGUUCGACGCGCUCCACGCUGCCCGUGCGCACUUGCACCUGCUGGCACACCCGAGGUGAGGCUCUAUGGAGCUAUAUGGGAGUGUAAAAUUUGACCAAAAUGUUUAAACUACACCUACUCGCGUGGUAAGGACACACCGCGCGCCAUCUAUUGAGAUGAUUAACAACCAUUUCAACCA